rnacentral:rRNA from 1 species
GACGAACGCUGGCGGCGUGCUUAACACAUGCAAGUCGAACGGAAAGGCCCUGCUUUUGUGGGGUGCUCGAGUGGCGAACGGGUGAGUAACACGUGAGUAACCUGCCCUUGACUUUGGGAUAACUUCAGGAAACUGGGGCUAAUACCGGAUAGGAGCUCCUGCUGCAUGGUGGGGGUUGGAAAGUUUCGGCGGUUGGGGAUGGACUCGCGGCUUAUCAGCUUGUUGGUGGGGUAGUGGCUUACCAAGGCUUUGACGGGUAGCCGGCCUGAGAGGGUGACCGGCCACAUUGGGACUGAGAUACGGCCCAGACUCCUACGGGAGGCAGCAGGGGGGAAUAUUGCACAAUGGGCGGGAGCCUGAUGCGGCAGCGCCGCGUGCGGGAUGACGGCCUUCGGGUUGUAAACCGCUUUCGCCUGUGACGAAGCGUGAGUGACGGUAAUGAGUAAAGAAGCACCGGCUAACUACGUG